rnacentral:rRNA from 1 species
UGACGGUACCUGACUAAGAAGCACCGGCUAACUACGUGCCAGCAGCCGCGGUAAUACGUAGGUGGCGAGCGUUAUCCGGAAUGAUUGGGCGUAAAGGGUGCGUAGGUGGCAGAACAAGUCUGGAGUAAAAGGUAUGGGCUCAACCCGUACUGGCUCUGGAAACUGUUCAGCUAGAGAACAGAAGAGGACGGCGGAACUCCAUGUGUAGCGGUAAAAUGCGUAGAUAUAUGGAAGAACACCGGUGGCGAAGGCGGCCGUCUGGUCUGUUGCUGACACUGAAGCACGAAAGCGUGGGGAGCAAAUAGGAUUAGAUACCCUAGUAGUCCACGCCGUAAACGAUGAGAACUAGGUGGUGGGGGAAAUAAUUAGGUGCCCAGUUAACGCAAAUAAAUUUUUCCCCCUGGGGAGUAGGCACCCAAGGGGGGAAACUCAAAGGAAUUGACGGGGGCCCGCACAAGCGGUGGAGUAUGUGGUUUAAUUCGAAGCAACGCGAAGAACCUUACCAGGCCUUGACAUCCCUUGCAGAGGUAUAGAGAUAUAUCCGAGGUUAUCAAGGAGACAGGUGGUGCAUGGUUGUCGUCAGCUCGUGUCGUGAGAUGUUGGGUUAAGUCCCGCAACGAGCGCAACCCUUGUGAUAUGUUACUAACAUUGAGUUGAGGACUCAUAUCAGACUGCCGGUGAUAAACCGGAGGAAGGUGGGGAUGACGUCAAAUCAUCAUGCCCCUUAUGGCCUGGGCUACACACGUACUACAAUGGCGUCUACAAAGAGCGGCAAGCCUGUGAAGGCAAGCGAAUCUCAUAAAGGACGUCUCAGUUCGGAUUGAAGUCUGCAACCCGACUUCAUGAAGCUGGAAUCGCUAGUAAUCGCGAAUCAGCAUGUCGCGGUGAAUAAGUUCUCGGGCCUUGCACUCACCGCCCGUCAA